GGCCGAGUGGCGGAAUGGCAGACGCUCGGGAUUUAAAAUCCCGUGUCCUCACGGACGUGCGGGUUCGAUCCCCGCCUCGGCUA
rnacentral:tRNA from 1 species